rnacentral:lncRNA from 1 species
AAUUAGUUUCUCUCAUGCUAUGAAUUCUCCUUUGGACUUGGGCAAUAUCGAUCGACAUUUCAACUACUUAAAUAAUGGCUUGUAAUUUCAUUCUCAAUGGUGCCCAAAUCUAUCGUAACCCAAUGAUUUUGUUUAAUAAAAACUAAAAUAUAUAAUUAGGCUAAAGUCAAUAUGUUAUAGUAGUAAAAGCAUACUCAAAAGGGUUUGUUUGUGUGGGGAACAACAUAUUCAUGGGAUUUGUCGACACCCAACAACUCCUCGUUAUGUCAAGCGUCG